rnacentral:rRNA from 1 species
UGCGUAGGUGGUUUCUUAAGUCAGAGGUGAAAGGCUACGGCUCAACCGCAGUAAGCCUUUGAAACUGGGAAACUUGAGUGCAGGAGAGGAGAGUGGAAUUCCUAGUGUAGCGGUGAAAUGCGUAGAUAUUAGGAGGAACACCAGUUGCGAAGGCGGCUCUCUGGACUGUAACUGACACUGAGGCACGAAAGCGUGGGGAGCAAACA